rnacentral:lncRNA from 1 species
GAUGAAUCUGACAACCCGUUGUUGGGUUGCUGCCCGUGAAUAGGUAAUUUUGCUGUUUUUGGUUAUUAUCUUGAAUAUUAUUAUAGAUAAAGAUAAACUGUAAACAGCAAUAAUGUUCAGCAAAGUAAGAUUUACAAAUAAGUCAACAUGACCGAAAUGGUCAAUUGACCCCCUAAGGAGUUAUUUUCCUUUAUAGUCAAUUUUUAACAACUUUCAUAAAAUUUGUAAAUUUUUAUUAACAUUUCCACUGAUAUUACUGGGCCAAUUCAUUAUAGAUAGAGAUAAUUGUAAGCAGCAAGACUGUUUAGUAAAGUAAGAUUUACAAACACAUCACCAU